GGGUGCGAGCGUUGUCCGGAAUUAUUGGGCGUAAAGAGCUCGUAGGCGGUUUGUCGCGUCGGCCGUGAAAUCUCCACGCUUAACGUGGAGCGUGCGGUCGAUACGGGCAGACUUGAGUUCGGUAGGGGAGACUGGAAUUCCUGGUGUAGCGGUGAAAUGCGCAGAUAUCAGGAGGAACACCGGUGGCGAAGGCGGGUCUCUGGGCCGAUACUGACGCUGAGGAGCGAAAGCGUGGGGAGCGAACAGG
rnacentral:rRNA from 1 species